AUUGAACGCUGGCGGCAUGCCUUACACAUGCAAGUCGAACGGUAACAGGUCUUCGGAUGCUGACGAGUGGCGAACGGGUGAGUAAUACAUCGGAACGUGCCUAGUAGUGGGGGAUAACUACUCGAAAGAGUGGCUAAUACCGCAUGAGAUCUACGGAUGAAAGCAGGGGAUCGCAAGACCUUGUGCUACUAGAGCGGCCGAUGGCAGAUUAGGUAGUUGGUGGGAUAAAAGCUUACCAAGUCGACGAUCUGUAGCUGGUCUGAGAGGACGAUCAGCCACACUGGGACUGAGACACGGCCCAGACUCCUACGGGAGGCAGCAGGGGGGAAUUUUGGACAAUGGGCGAAAGCCUGAUCCAGCAAUGCCGCGUGCAGGAUGAAGGCCUUCGGGUUGUAAACUGCUUUUGUACGGAGCGAAAAGGCUCUCUCUAAUACAGGGGGCUCAUGACGGUACCGUAAGAAUAAGCACCGGCUAACUACGUGCCAGCAGCCGCCGUAA
rnacentral:rRNA from 1 species